GUAAAUAUCACUGAUAUUUAUCUUAGUAUUAUACAAAGAGCCUCCGAGAAGCGAUGAGUUACUUUUCAGCAGAAGAUUACGGUUGUACAAAUGCUGUGAGGAAAAUGGAUCAAAAGUGGGCAGUAAAGACAUUUAACAUCAGGGUGCA